CUUCUAUUAUUUGCAAUCAGUAACAAAGAUUCAUCCUUGUGUCCAUCAAGCAACAAGGAGAAUCUUUGUCACUUAGUGUAAUUAAUAGCUGCGC
rnacentral:pre_miRNA from 9 species